UCCCUGGUGGUCCAGUGGCUAAGACUCUGUGCUCCCAGUGCAGGGGGUCUGGGUUCAAUACCCGGUCAGGGAA
rfam:Ovis aries breed Texel chromosome 2, whole genome shotgun sequence.